rnacentral:rRNA from 1 species
GUGGGGAAUAUUGGGCAAUGGGGGAAACCCUGACCCAGCAACGCCGCGUGAGGGAAGAAGGCCUAACGGUUGUAAACCUCUGUCAUAUGGGAAGAAGGAAUGACAGUACCAUAUGAGGAAGCUCCGGCUAACUCCGUGCCAGCAGCCGCGGUAAUACGGAGGGUGCAAGCGUUAUCCGGAUUCACUGGGUUUAAAGGGUGCGUAGGCGGGUUGAUAAGUCAGUGGUGAAAGCUCCGGGCUUAACUUGGAAACUGCCAUUGAUACUGUCAAUCUUGAAUGUCGUAGAGGUAAGCGGAAUGUUGCAUGUAGCGGUGAAAUGCUUAGAUAUGUUACAGAACACCGGUGGCGAAGGCGGAUCUCUGGAACGCAACUGACGCUGAGGCGCGAAAGUCGGGGGAGCAAACAGGAUUAGAAACCCGGGUAGUCC